AAGAUGAUUAAUAUUAAAAAUAUCAUAUGUUAAACCUUUAAAACACUCUCCUGUAAAAUUUAGUAAGUUUUGAGAUUAUACAGUUUUAAUGCGAGAAGACGAUAUGCGCAUUUCGUGAAAAGAAUACUACAGAAAUGUAUCCUCGAUAAGUCUAAAUAAAUUGAUUGUUGAAUCAUUAAAUGUUUGAUCGAAUCUCCAACAGCCAAUAAAUUAUGAUACUUUGUUCGUCGCCCACUCGAAGACACGUGCAUUCCAAUCUAUUUCAGUGCAUCUUCGAUGAAACCAUUGGUACAUUAUGUAAUUAAUUACAUUCGGUUUUUCAUCUGACUCAUUGCUUGUUUCAUUUCGUAUUGUAUUCUUGAGGUUUGCUUUAGGAACGUGUUAUUUAAGGAAGUUCAUUGUUUGCAUUUAUUUUGGUUUGAAUAGGUUGGUUUGAAUAUUUGUGUUCUAAAUCGGCGGAGCUCGCGCUACUGCUGCUACCAAAGUACUUAGCUAUUGAUCAAUUUAAUAAUCCUAAUGUCCGCCGGAUGAUGAACUAAUUCGACCAUAAUCAUCGAUACUUUAACACUUAAAUUAAUUUUAAUGUCACAAAUACCUUUUUUUUUGUAAUUUGUUUAAAUUAAUUUUAAUGUAGUAAAUACUAUUUUUUUUUUAUUUUUUUUUUAUUACUUUGAUGGGUUGACGAGCUCACAGCCCACCUGGUGCUAAGUGGUUACUGGAACCCAUAGACAUCCACAACGUAAAUGCGCCACCCACCUUGAGAUAUAAGUUCUAAGGUCUCAGUAUAGUUACAACGGCUGCCCCACCCUUCAAACCGUGUGGCGGAACAAAGUUCGCCGGGUCCGCUAGUUAUUUGUAUGAAUCCCAAAAUCCUUAGAAAAAUCUAUUUUUCUGAUUUUUUCCAAUAUUGUUUAUCGAUACACGCAUUGGUACAUUAAAGAAAGUCAAUUAGAUACUGAAAAGAAAAGAAAAUAGUUUGAAAAAACCGAGGAGAAAAAGAUAUUGAACUAUUGUCAUUGGAUCUUUGUGUUAUAAGGUAGGUAGGUAACCUUAUAGAAGUUAGAAAUUGUAUAUCGCAUUAUUCUUAUAUACUUUACGCUUCGCUAAUUGGUCUGGUAAUUGGUAUUUAUUUGUUCAAUAAUAACGGUAAUUAAACACACGUUAAUUGCAUUAAAAAGUUAAUUGUCAGAUAUCGAUCGAUGUGCGUUUCUGAUAUAUUAUUAGUGCUCUUUAUUAUUAUUAUAUAGAACCAGUACGGUCAUGGUACAAAUUGAUUUUAUUUUUAUUUUAUUUAUUAGGCACACAAUACACAUCACAAGCUAAAAA